rnacentral:misc_RNA from 1 species
GUUUUACUAGCGAAGGUGCACAUACACCAUGUGCACCUAAUAAUUUGCCUUUAUUGAAUUGCAAGUUCACAACAGAUAAGCAAAUAGUCAUCAAUCCUCCAAUCAUGCCUUACAUGGUCAGGCACCGAAAUAAUCCUUUAAAGGUAAUUCAUAACUUUUACCAGUAUCUGCAAAACGGAGUUUAAGAUACUCAGGAUAUUCAAAAGGCCUAAAUUGCAAGGGGUGUUCUUCAUCCAGCAGCUCUUCUGCUGCUUUUAUUAUGUAGCCUUCCCUGGGGACGGUAAACAAUACAGCAGAGUACCUUUUCUGGUCUCCACUCAUCAUAACUCGAUGAUAUGGGCUGUGCAGUCGACCAUUAGUCCAUGCAUUGAGAGAUUCCCCAAUGAUGACUAUGAAAGAGUGAGGUGAGAAUUUCACAUUGACCCAUUCACCAUCUCUGGUUUGCACCUCCAACCCAUCAAUCUGACUUUGGUACAGUAUGCUAGUUGUGUUCUUAUCUGUGUGAGCCCUUAGCCCUGUCUUUUUGUCAGUGGUUUUGGGUGCUUCAUAUUUGGUGACCCUGAGAAAAUUGUAAGUCGAGUUCAUGUGUUCUUCCAAAUAUUUCUCUAUACCAAAGCUCUCCACAAUCAUCCUCCUUAUUGUUUGAUCUAAUUCUGAUAAUAUCUUCGAGAACCAAUGCACCGUUUUGCUGAAAUUUGUAUUUCCUUCGGGCCACAUGAUCUUGGUGAAUCUUUCGACCUCUUUAUGGUCUUCUGGGUUAUCAAAGCCCAUGCUCUCAUAUAGUGACCCCGGGGAAGAUGAUCCAAUAUAACCAUGGAACGCUUUUUCAGAAACAUUACGUUUCUUGAUUUCUAAAGGUAAUGCAAAAAUCUCUUCCAGUGCUCCAUCCAUUGCCUUCCGCAGCUCCUGAGGAAUAUUUUUGAACAAAGCCUCAAAGCAACCAAACUCCUCAGCUGCUUCCCGGACUUGGGAUCUCACUGUCUCCCACACAGGAGUCCUUGGCAUUAAAUCUUUGCAGGAGAAAUCUAUGACUGGGAGGCGAAGAGUGGUUUCAGAGCCCAUUUUUUGUUUCCCACUUUUUAACUCUUUUCAAAGAAUAAUAAAUGUGGAAGAAACUCUUUGUAGUUUAUCUGUAUCAGCUUUGAAUAUAUAGUCCAGCCUGUUCAUUAAAUGCAGAGACACGGUUCAUCGCAAUGAGUCAUUCUAUCUAGCAAUGUUCUUACAUGUUUUGAGCAAUUUCAUUGGCUCGUUUUAAG